AUUGAACGCUGGCGGCAGGCCUAACACAUGCAAGUCGAGCGAGCGGCGGACGGGUGAGUAAUGUAUGGGGAACUGCCUGAUAGAGGGGGAUAACUACUGGAAACGGUAGCUAAUACCGCAUACUAUCGGCUGAACCCAUAUGGGAUUAGCUAGUAGGUGGGGUAAAGGCUCACCUAGUCGACGAUCUCUAGCUUGUCUGAGAGGCUGACCAGCCACACUGGGACGUAGACACGGCCCAAACACCUACGGGAGGCAGCAGUGGGGAAUAUUGCACAAUGGGCGCAAGCCUGAUGCAGCCAUGCCGCGUGUAUGAAGAAGGCCUUAGGGUUGUAAAGUACUUUCAGCGGGGAGGCGUUACCCGCAGAAGAAGCACCGGCUAACUCCGUGCCAGCAGCCGCGGUAAUAC
rnacentral:rRNA from 1 species